rnacentral:rRNA from 1 species
GGCAUCGAUCGGCUGCUCGGGCGCCCACCUCCCACCCGUGACUACCUAACACUGUUGCUUCGGCGGGGAGCCCUCUCGGGGGCGAGCCGCCGGGGACUACUGAACUUCAUGCCUGAGAGUGAUGCAGUCUGAGUCUGAAUAUAAAAUCAGUCAAAACUUUCAACAAUGGAUCUCUUGGUUCCGGCAUCGAUGAAGAACGCAGCGAACUGCGAUAAGUAAUGUGAAUUGCAGAAUUCAGUGAAUCAUCGAGUCUUUGAACGCACAUUGCGCCCCCUGGCAUUCCGGGGGGCAUGCCUGUCCGAGCGUCAUUGCUGCCCAUCAAGCCCGGCUUGUGUGUUGGGUCGUCGUCCCCCCCGGGGGACGGGCCCGAAAGGCAGCGGCGGCACCGUGUCCGGUCCUCGAGCGUAUGGGGCUUUGUCACCCGCUCGAUUAGGGCCGGCCGGGCGCCAGCCGACGUCUCCAACCAUUUUCUUCAGGUUGACCUCGGAUCAGGUAGGGAUACCCGCUGAACUUAAGCAUAUCAAUAAGCGGAGGAA